AUAUUUCAGAAGUUGGAAGAAAAAGAAAAGAAAAAUAGAAGAAGAAAAUAGAAAAGAAAAAAAAUGAACGAAAAAAAAAAUAGAAGGAUGUAUACAUGUCAAUACAUACUCCUUAUGAAAAAGAAGAAGAAAAAAAUAAAAAAGAGAAAGGAGAAAAAAAUAUGAACAAAAAUAGUUAAUAUAGAGUCGUUGAAGUGAAUGAAAUAUUUUGUAAAUUCAACUCCCGCAGUUUCUUCUAAGUCUCUUUUGUCUCUUUG
rnacentral:lncRNA from 1 species